rnacentral:rRNA from 1 species
CAGCCGCCACGGGAAUACGUAGGUGGCAAGCGUUGUCCGGAAUUAUUGGGCGUAAGGGGCUCGCAGGCGGUUUCUUAAGUCUGAUGUGAAAGCCCCCGGCUCAACCGGGGAGGGUCAUUGGAAACUGGGAAACUUGAGUGCAGAAGAGGAGAGUGGAAUUCCACGUGUAGCGGUGAAAUGCGUAGAGAUGUGGAGGAACACCAGUGGCGAAGGCGACUCUCUGGUCUGUAACUGACGCUGAGGAGCGAAAGCGUGGGGAGCGAAUAGGAUUAGAUACCCGGGUAGUCCCUGUCUCUUAUAC